rnacentral:rRNA from 1 species
UGGGGAAUAUUGGACAAUGGGCGCAAGCCUGAUCCAGCCAUGCCGCGUGAGUGAUGAAGGCCUUAGGGUUGUAAAGCUCUUUUGGCGGGGACGAUAAUGACGGUACCCGCAGAAUAAGUCCCGGCUAACUUCGUGCCAGCAGCCGCGGUAAUACGAAGGGGACUAGCGUUGUUCGGAAUCACUGGGCGUAAAGCGCACGUAGGCGGAAUUGUAAGUCAGGGGUGAAAUCCCGGGGCUCAACCUCGGAACUGCCUUUGAUACUGCGAUUCUCGAGUCCGAUAGAGGUGGGUGGAAUUCCUAGUGUAGAGGUGAAAUUCGUAGAUAUUAGGAAGAACACCGGUGGCGAAGGCGGCCCACUGGAUCGGUACUGACGCUGAGGUGCGAAAGCGUGGGGAGCAAACA